CAAACGGCCUUGAGGUGUUUUACAUGUAGAAUUGCAAAUUCUAAGUGGCGGG
rnacentral:tRNA from 1 species